UACGUAGGGUGCAAGCGUUGUUCGGAAUUACUGGGCGUAAAGGGCUCGUAGGCGGCCAACUAAGUCAGACGUGAAAUCCCUCGGCUUAACCGGGGAACUGCGUCUGAUACUGGAUGGCUUGAGAUUGGGAGAGGGAUGCGGAAUUCCAGGUGUAGCGGUGAAAUGCGUAGAUAUCGGGAGGAACACCAGUGGCGAAGGCGACUUCCUGCCUGUUCUUGACGCUGAGGCGCGAAAGCUAGGGGAGCAA
rnacentral:rRNA from 1 species